rnacentral:rRNA from 1 species
UACGGAGGGUGCGAGCGUUGUCCGGAAUCACUGGGCGUAAAGGGCGCGUAGGCGGCUUGGGAAGUCUGUGGUGAAAGCUCGUGGCUCAACUGCGAGUCGGCCAUAGAUACUCCUAAGCUCGAGUCGACUAGAGGCAGAUGGAAUUCCGGGUGUAGCGGUGGAAUGCGUAGAGAUCCGGAAGAACACCGGUGGCGAAGGCGGUCUGCUAGGGUCGAACUGACGCUGAGGCGCGACAGCGUGGGGAGCAAACAGGAU